UGAACCUGGCCGAGGACGAAAAAAUCGCCGAUUGCCGUGCCGUCCGCGACUUCGACAAGCCCGACCAUUACCUCAUGAUGGCCACUCGCAAAGGCCUCGUGAAAAAGACCGAGCUGAAAGCUUACAGCCGACCGCUCAAAAGCGGCAUCAUCGCCAUCAAGCUCAAAGAAGAUGACGAGCUCGUCGACGUCGCCAUUACCAAGCAGGGUGACGAAAUCGUGCUCGCCACCACCAAGGGCAUGGCCAUCCGCUUCAACGAAGCCGACGCUCGCCCCAUGGGCCGCAACACCAGCGGCGUCAAAGGCAUCUCGCUCUCCAAAGACGAUCACCUCGUCGGCAUGGUCGUCGCCGACCCCGACGCCACACUAUUAACCGCCUGCGAACACGGCUACGGCAAACGCACCCCCUUCGGACCCAACGCCCCCUACUCCCCUCCCCUCGAUGAUACUUCUUCCGAAUCCCCUCCCCUCGAUGGGGAGGGCGAGGGAGGGGUGGACGAAUCUGACAACGUUCACGACGGCGAGGUCGCUUCAGCGACCACGCAACCCGACGACGAUGCCGAAGGCGAGUCCUCCUCCAGCUUCCGCUACCGAACCCAACGCCGCGGCGGCAAGGGCCUCCGCGACAUCAAAACCACCGACCGCAACGGCCCGGUAAUCGGCAUCGUCCGCGUUCGCGAUGAUGAUGAGCUCAUGAUGAUGACCGCCCGCGGCAAAAUCCAACGCGUCAAAGUCAGCGACUUCAACCCCAUCGGCCGCAACACGCAAGGCGUCCGCAUCAUGUCCCUCGAAGAAGGCGACACGCUGGCCGCAAUCGUCUGCGUCCCCGCCGAAGAACGCGAAGCCGACGAGCCAGAGAGCACCGAAGCCGUUCCCGAAUCAUAGCGCCUCGUUCCUACGCUCUGCGUAGGAACGCACGACUCCCGACGCUCUGCGUCGCCCCGCAAACAUGGA
rnacentral:misc_RNA from 1 species